rnacentral:rRNA from 1 species
AUUGAACGCUGGCGGAAUGCUUUACACAUGCAAGUCGAGCGGCAGCGCGGGGGCAACCCUGGCGGCGAGCGGCGAACGGGUGAGUAACACAUCGGAACGUACCCAGUUGUGGGGGAUAGCCCGGCGAAAGCCGGAUUAAUACCGCAUACGACCUGAGGGUGAAAGGGGGGGAUCGCAAGACCUCUCGCAGUUGGAGCGGCCGAUGGCGGAUUAGCUAGUUGGUGGGGUAAAAGCCUACCAAGGCGACGAUCCGUAGCGGGUCUGAGAGGAUGAUCCGCCACACUGGGACUGAGACACGGCCCAGACUCCUACGGGAGGCAGCAGUGGGGAAUUUUGGACAAUGGGCGGAAGCCUGAUCCAGCCAUGCCGCGUGAGUGAAGAAGGCCUCGGUGUAAGCUCUUCGUGGGAGAAU